UACAGAGGGUGCAAGCGUUGUUCGGAAUUAUUGGGCGUAAAGGGCGCGUAGGCGGCGCGACAAGUCACCUGUGAAAUCUCCGAGCUUAACUCGGAGCCUGCAGGCGAAACUGUCGUGCUGGAGUAUGGGAGAGGUGCGUGGAAUUCCCGGUGUAGCGGUGGAAUGCGUAGAGAUCGGGAAGAACAUCGGUGGCGAAGGCGGCCAGCGGGGCCGUUGCUGACGCUGAGGCGCGACAGCGUGGGGAGCAAACAGG
rnacentral:rRNA from 1 species